AUCGCUUCUCGGCCUUUUGGCUAAGAUCAAGUGUAAAACAACAUACGCUUGUCCCAUUCCUCUUUCUUGCUUUUUCUUCUUUCUCAUAAAUAAAUAAUAAUAAUAAUAUGUAACAUGUCAGCAUUUAGCACCCCUGACAUGUUACAUAUUUA
rnacentral:snRNA from 1 species